GGAAGUGAUUGUCGGAACUAUGC
rnacentral:siRNA from 1 species